CCUGAAAGAAUCAAACAUCUUUUUGUUAAAAUGAAGCCAUGUGUUAGUAGAAUGUCGAAUAAUAUUAAUACAUUGAUAUCAAGGAAACAAAAGUUUUUAAUUAAUUUGACAAAACAUUAUUUUCAAAACGAAACAAACCACGUUAAGAUAAAAAUAGACAUAGACAAGUCAUUUAGAAUGCCAUUUCUUUGUAAUAAAUAGGUUCGUGAAAAUAAGCCCUUUGUUUCUUAACCCUUUGCCCUCAAGAGGCGACAAUGGCUACACCGUUUCAUACGGCAACUCAAAUGACAACUCUUUAUGUUUUUUGUUAGGAAGUGUGAAAUGUCACACUUUGAAAUGGAGAUAAGAUAUUUAGUCUUGAACUCGUCCAAAACCAUGGUUCUGACGUCUCCUACAUUAAUUCAGAUUCAACGAUAAUGGUAGUAUAGCUUAGAAGCCCUAAAAAAUGGAUUUUGGGAAAUGAAAUUUGCUCAACUGAAGAUGAAUUUGAUUUUGAAUUGUUGAAAGACGAGAUCGAUUGUAUCCAUGAAGGAAUUAUUGAUAAAGAAAAUGAAAGCAAUGAUGGAGAUAUAGUGACAUAGUAUUAAGUGUAAGAAAUCGAAAGAUUAAAAUAAUAGAUAGUAAAUCCAAAAGUGACAGUGAUACCCCACAAGAUCCUAAUAAUUCAGAAUGGACACCUUUUAAAGAAUCUAGUGAAAUACCACCAAGAAUAAAAUUCAUAGCCGAUGGAAUACCUGGAAGGCCAUAGGUGGUAUCCUCAAAUGUUGAACUGUUGAAUUUUUUAAAGAUAUUUCUUACCGAUAAAACAAAUAAUAACUGAAACAAAUGGUUAUACUGCAAAAAAGAAGAUAUAAGAGGGAGAACAUUAUUAUAACAUUCAAUUUGGCAAAUAUGACAUAAUGUCACCAAAGAAGAAUUUUGGCCAAAGCAAAGAUGCAUCUUGGUGAAUGCUUUAUAAAUUAUUAUACAAAAAAAUACAGAAAUUAAUAUUACAAAAUCAUUAAGAUUAAAAAAGUCAUUAAGCGCAAAGGGUUAAAAUAUUGAACGUGUAUCUGACAAAACUGAAACUUGAUGAAAUUGAGAAAUUCAUAUAAAAUAGAGCUGAAUAAUUUAACUUUUGACAUUCACAUAAUAAUCAUUUCUUUUAUAGAUAUCAGUAAAAAAGAUAUUUUAAACAUUGAAUUAUUUCAUAGUUUAUCUAUACAUAUGUAUGUGUUAAUAUUUAAAUUUAAAGUUGUACCUUGUGCAAUAAGUUCAUCUACUGAUUUUCCAUUCAGUUCUGAGAUGACUUUCUUAAGCUUUUCUGUAUCGGCUUCAAUUCCAACGGAUGAUAAAAUUUUUUCAAUAUCAUUUUGACUAGGAGAUGCUUUCCCUC